rnacentral:rRNA from 1 species
GAUGAACGCUGGCGGCGUGCCUAAUACAUGCAAGUCGAGCGAACAGACGAGGAGCUUGCUCCUCUGACGUUAGCGGCGGACGGGUGAGUAACACGUGGAUCCCCUCCCUAUACGACUGGGAUAACUUCGGGACACCGGCGCUAAUACCGGAUAAUAUAUUGAACCGCAUGGUUCAAUAGUGAAAGACGGUUUUGCUGUCACUUAUAGAUGGAUCCGCGCCUCAUUAGCUAGUUGGUAAGGUAACGGCUUACCAAGGCGACGAUGCGUAGCCGACCUGAGAGGGUGAUCGGCCACACUGGAACUGGGACACGGUCCAGACUCCUACGGGAGGCAGCAGUAGGGAAUCUUCCGCAAUGGGCGAAAGCCUGACGGAGCAACGCCGCGUGAGUGAUGAAGGUCUUCGGAUCGUAAAACUCUGUGAUUAGGGAAGAACAAAUGGGGAAGUAACUAUGCACGUCGUGACGGUACCUAAUCAGAAAGCCACGGCUAACUACGUG